AGAGAGAGGGAAGGGAGGAGACUGGAAGCCCAUGCCCAGGCAAGCUGAAAUUGCUUGACUGGCACCAAGUGUGAAAGAAGAGUAAAGGCUGUAGUGAAGCUGCCUUUACGCAGCAUCUGGUUCUUAGAAAAAUGUUUGGGUCGCAAAUGAAGAUGAAAUGGCUCCCCCAUUAGUUCCUUAUCUGUUCUUUCUGGCUGACCCCCAUAAGAAAACAGUGGUUUAUGAUUCAUUGACUUAGUUGUGUGGAAUGGUUAUGUAAAAGGCAGUGCAGGAAGGUGUAGGUGCAUACCAAGGAGUUUGCCCUACAGAGCUAAUAAGACAGAAAAAUGUUAUACCAAGGAACUCGUAAGGGUCUCUUUUAUUUUGGUAAUAUGGUAUCAGUAAUGAAAAUAGAAUUCAUCUUAAUGAGAUGCUAAAAUCUUGGCUGUUCCACAAAAAGACAUUCUAUACAGGGCAGUGCAUCUCUUCUCACAGUGUGUGUGUUAGCAUGAGUCAAUGGGAUGGUACAUUUGAUCCCGUCUCUCUUGCCCUCUGCUGCUCUUAGGUCUGUUGAGGUCUCUUCUCAUGAGCCUCAAGUGUGAGAAGUGGAUGCCAGCUGUGAUUUCCAGAAGCACCCUUUGUACCUUGGCCUCCUGAGAAGAUGGAGCUUUUCCCCAGCUUCUAAGAAAGGGAACAAGAGCUACCCACCAAAGAGAUAUUUUCCCAAGCAAGGACCAAAAGCAGGAAAGCAAACACCCCUUUAACAUUUUGAGGCUUCUGCUGCUGGUUUCACACAGACCCCUGGGAUAAUGAUGCUCACAGCUGCUGCCUGACUACACACACUGUUCAUUGCCAGCGAUAUGCCUGUCAUGGUGUUCACCAGAUCUCUUGGAAGGUGUGACAGCUGCCAACAGUAUCAGCAAUGCCUGGGCAGCAGUGUCUGUGUCAUCAUUUCGUGCCGUAUCACAACAAUCGACUUUUCUGACCUGAAGUUUACAAGAUGCUCUUCUUCAGAAAGUCUUCUGGGUUGGAAGAAGUCUAGUAUGACACCCAGCCCACUUUGUGUAGUGCAACAUUCUUUACAUCAUUUGUGCAGUCCCCUGUGUGAUGACCCCCAUGUUCAGCUUUCCAUAGCUCUAGUGACUCUUGCUUAGUUUUCAAUUGCCUGCCUCUUCUUGGAGUUGUAGGGACUUGUUCUUUCUUCUUAGGUCCACAUAAACCAGUAAUUACCAUUUUAAAUCAUUCACACAACAUUGGUGCAAGUCAGAGUAUAUAAGGAAAUCUCAUGUAGCGUUUCAAGUAGUUUUAUUUUCUAUUUUGCUCAAGCUUAUUCUUCUAAAUAUUGUCUUAGUAUAAAUCUUAAUGGGAUAAUGUAAGUCAUUGCUCUCUUCAAUUCAAGUUGGUCUCUGCUCUUUUCAAUACAUGUUUUUAUCUUCCUUCAUGUUGCAGUAAUUUUGGAGUAUCUAAAAUUAUUUAAGUUGAUCUUAUGUUAUGUUUCUUUUGUUAAUCUUCUGGUUUCUAUUUUCUACAUUGUUGCUGUGUGUGAUUUAACUGUUCUAGGUGUUUUUAAAAUCAUUGUUUCAGACAGAUUUGAAUUGUUAAAUUAUUUAAGUGAUUUGUUUUCCAUCUGCUAUUUCUGACAUCUGGUUAA